rnacentral:rRNA from 1 species
CUUGCGCUCUAGGAUGGGUCCGCGGCCCAUCAGCUAGUUGGUAGGGUAACGGCCUACCAAGGCUACGACGGGUAGCUGGUCUGAGAGGAUGAUCAGCCACACUGGAACUGAGACACGGUCCAGACUCCUACGGGAGGCAGCAGUGGGGAAUCUUGCGCAAUGGGCGAAAGCCUGACGCAGCGACGCCGCGUGGGUGACGAAGGCCUUCGGGUUGUAAAGCCCUGUGGGGAGGAACGAACCGGCAUCUGGCUAACAUCCAGGUGCCCUGACGGUACCUCUUUAGCAAGCAUCGGCUAACUCUGUGCCAGCAGCCGCGGUAAGACAGAGGAUGCAAACGUUGCUCGGAUUUACUGGGCGUAAAGCGCGCGCAGGCGGUCCUGUAAGUCGGACGUGAAAGCCCGGGGCUCAACCUCGGAAGUGCGUCUGAUACUGCAAGACUGGAGUACUGGAGAGGAGAGCGGAAUUCCCGGUGUAGAGGUGAAAUUCGUAGAUAUCGGGAGGAACACCA